UACGGAGGGUGCAAGCGUUGUUCGGAAUCACUGGGCUUAAAGCGUGUGUAGGCGGACUUCUAAGUACCUUGUGAAAUCCCACGGCUUAACCGUGGAACUGCUUGGUAUACUGGUCGUCUUGAGCCACUUAGGGGUUACCGGAACAAAUGGUGGAGCGGUGAAAUGCGUAGAUAUCGGAAGGAACACCGGUGGCGAAAGCGGCGCGCUGGACCUCUACUGACGCUGAGGCGCGAAAGCCAGGGGAGCAAACGGG
rnacentral:rRNA from 1 species